rnacentral:rRNA from 1 species
UACGAAGGGGGCUAGCGUUGUUCGGAAUUACUGGGCGUAAAGCGUGCGCAGGCGGCCUUUCAAGUCAGUGGUGAAAGCCCGGAGCUCAACUCCGGAACUGCCAUUGAAACUGUUUGGCUUGAGUACGAGAGAGGUGAGUGGAAUUCCCAGUGUAGAGGUGAAAUUCGUAGAUAUUGGGAAGAACACCGGUGGCGAAGGCGGCUCGCUGGCUCGUAACUGACGCUCAUGCACGACAGCGUGGGGAUCAAACAGG